AACGAACGCUGGCGGCAUGCCUAACACAUGCAAGUCGAACGAGACCUUCGGGUCUAGUGGCGCACGGGUGCGUAACGCGUGGGAACCUGCCCUUAGGUUCGGAAUAACUCCCCGAAAGGGGUGCUAAUACCGGAUAAUGUCUUCGGACCAAAGAUUUAUCGCCUUUGGAUGGGCCCGCGUUGGAUUAGCUAGUUGGUAGGGUAAAAGCCUACCAAGGCGACGAUCCAUAGCUGGUCUGAGAGGAUGAUCAGCCACACUGGGACUGAGACACGGCCCAGACUCCUACGGGAGGCAGCAGUGGAGAAUAUUGGACAAGGGGCGAAAGCCUGAUCCAGCAAUGCCGCGUGAGUGAUGAAGGCCUUAGGGUUGUAAAGCUCUUUUACCCGGGAUGAUAAUGACAGUACCGGGAGAAUAAGCUCCGGCUAACUCCGUG
rnacentral:rRNA from 1 species